AGUGAACGCUGGCGGUAGGCCUAACACAUGCAAGUCGAACGGCAGCACAGUAAGAGCUUGCUCUUACGGGUGGCGAGUGGCGGACGGGUGAGGAAUACAUCGGCAUCUACUUUUUCGUGGGGGAUAACGUAGGGAAACUUACGCUAAUACCGCAUACGACCUACGGGUGAAAGCAGGGGAUCUUCGGACCUUGCGCGAUUGAAUGAGCCGAUGUCGGAUUAGCUAGUUGGCGGGGUAAAGGCCCACCAAGGCGACGAUCCGUAGCUGGUCUGAGAGGAUGAUCAGCCACACUGGAACUGAGACACGGUCCAGACUCCUACGGGAGGCAGCAGUGGGGAAUAUUGGACAAUGGGCGCAAGCCUGAUCCAGCCAUGCCGCGUGGGUGAAGAAGGCCUUCGGGUUGUAAAGCACUUUUGUUGGGAAAGAAAAGCAGCAGGUUAAUACCCCGCUGUUCUGACGGUACCCAAAGAAUAAGCACCGGCUAACUUCGUG
rnacentral:rRNA from 1 species